UACGGGGGGGGCAAGCGUUGUUCGGAAUUACUGGGCGUAAAGGGCUCGUAGGCGGCCAACUAAGUCAGACGUGAAAUCCCUCGGCUUAACUUGGGAAUUGCGCUCGAAACUACGUGGCUCGAGUGUGGCAGAGGAAGGUGGAAUUCCACGUGUAGCGGUGAAAUGCGUAGAGAUGUGGAGGAACACCGAUGGCGAAGGCAGCCUUCUGGGCCAACACUGACGCUCAUGCACGAAAGCGUGGGGAGCAAACAGG
rnacentral:rRNA from 1 species